AUACGUAGGGGGCGAGCGUUGUCCGGAAUUACUGGGUGUAAAGGGCGUGUAGGCGGGGAUGCAAGUUACCGGUAAAAACCCGAGGCUCAACCACGGGCUUGCCGGUAAAACUGUGUCUCUUGAGUAUAGGAGAGGGAAGUGGAAUUCCCGGAGUAGCGGUGAAAUGCGUAGAUACCGGGAGGAACACCAGUGGCGAAGGCGGCUUCCUGGCCUAUCACUGACGCUGAGGCGCGAAAGCUAGGGGAGCGAACGGGAUUAGAUACCCCGGUAGUCCUAGCCGUAAACGAUGGUCACUAGGUGUGGGUGGUGGUCAAGCCAUCCGUGCCGGAGCUAACGCAAUAAGUGACCCACCUGGGGAGUACGGCCGCAAGGUUGAA
rnacentral:rRNA from 1 species